UUGAGAGCACUGGAAACAAAACUCCUGCAAUAUAAUCCACAAAAGAGUUAGAGAAAUGCAGUGACCAUGGCACUUUCCCAGCAAGGUCUGUCUUUGUCCUCAACCUCAGGUCUGGAGGGAUCACUUCUAAGAGUGAGAGGGUAGUUCAGAUACCUGGGACAGAUUCUCACCACAGUUAUA
rnacentral:sRNA from 1 species